UAGAAGUACAAAUAAAAAAUACCUCUAAAACUUACAACUUAUUUACAAAGUAAUGCCAAAAGUAUUAAAUAAUCUUAACUUUAAUUAAUUUUUGUCCUUUCCAAAUUUAAAUCAUUUCCUAACGCAAUUAUAACUAAUAAAAAGUUUUUGGCAACAAAAAUGAAGUCGUAUAUUCACUCCGAAUCUCUCCUAGCAUUUCAGUUUGUCGGCAGGUCGUUGGAGCUCUGUCCCUUCUCUGCUGGUGGCCCUUUGAUUCCGAUCUGCUCGUGCGUUCUCCGAUUGCUUCUGGUGGUGAUUUUGUCGAAGUUGAAGGUUAUGCUCUUCCUUGAUUUCAUUAGAAACGGAAUAGAUUCUGUUGUUUUUAAGUUCUAUUGUGGUCCGGGUUUGGUGUCUCCGGCUUGUUUUCAAGGAAGAGGAGCUUCGGCUCUUUUCUGCUCUAUGCCGUGGGUGUCUGAAGGUUAAAUGGUUGUCACUUCUGUACUCUGGGAUGUUUUAAUCGCUUCAUUCCUCGUGGUUCCUGGUUUGUUUCCGGAGCAAAAUUGAGGUGCAGUCUGCGGUUCUUCCCAAAUAAAAUUUGGCUUUCUAGGCGCUUUUAUUCUAUCCACCUUCUUCGAUGGUCUCUAUUACCAAAGUGUCUUGUGGGUAUGAUGUUGAUCUUGCUUUCUAAACUCUCUAGUCACUUGUAAUUUGUUCUCUUUUUGGCUUCAGAGAAUCUCUAGAUUCUGCUGACCCUUGUCUCUAGAUGAAAUAUAGUUUCAUGCUGGCUUUAGUCUCCGGGAGUAUUUGUUACUCGUCGGCUUUGUAUCCCAAACAAUGUAUCCUUCUUUGUUCAUCAAUGAAAGCAGUAGUGUUAAAAAUAAGUAA